CCUACGGGUGGCAGCAGUGAGGAAUAUUGGUCAAUGGGCGCGAGCCUGAACCAGCCACGUCGCGUGAAGGAUGACUGCCCUACGGGUUGUAAACUUCUUUUAUAAAGGAAUAAAGUGAGGCACGUGUGCCUUUUUGUAUGUACUUUAUGAAUAAGGAUCGGCUAACUCCGUGCCAGCAGCGGCGGUAAUACGGAGGAUCCGUGCGUGAUCCGGAUUUAUUGGGUUUAAAGGUAGCGUAGAUGGGUUGUUAAGUCAGUUGUGAAAGUUUGCGGCUAAACCGUAAAAUUGCAAUUGAUACUGGCAGUCUUGAGUACAGUAGAGGUAAGCGGAAUUCGUGGUGUAGCGGUGAAAUGCGUAGAUAUCACGAAGAACA
rnacentral:rRNA from 1 species